rfam:Salmo salar isolate Sally breed double haploid chromosome ssa03, whole genome shotgun sequence.
UGCACGCUUGACUGUAAGUCGUUUUGGAUAAAAGCAUCUGCUAAAUGGAAUAUA